rnacentral:misc_RNA from 1 species
CCCAUUUAAUAGAGGCAUGAUCCCGAAAAACUUAUUCGUCUUCGGCCUUCUUGCCGCCGAUGGUCUUCAGCUUGGCGAACACGGCGUCGACAUUCAUGUCGUCGCGCUGCUUCUCGGUGGUGGUGGCAGCCUCGUGCUCGGCGUCCUUGCGGGUGGUCUCGGAGGCCGGCAGCAGGGUCGCGCCGCCAUACUGCGUGGCUGCGGGCUUUUCCUUGGCCGCGCGCUGCACCUCGAAAUCGAGUUCGAUCUGCGAGCACAGGCCGAGGGUCACAGGGUCCAUCGGCGUCAGAGUCG